GACGAACGCUGGCGGCGUGCCUAAUACAUGCAAGUAGAACGCAGUUGCGAACGGGUGAGUAACGCGUAGGUAACCUGCCUCAUAGCGGGGGAUAACUAUUGGAAACGAUAGCUAAUACCGCAUACUGUGAGAUGGACCUGCGUUGUAUUAGCUAGUUGGUGGGGUAAAGGCUCACCAAGGCGACGAUACAUAGCCGACCUGAGAGGGUGAUCGGCCACACGGGAACGGGGACACGGCCCGGACUCCUACGGGAGGCGGCAGUAGGGAUCCUUCGGCAAUGGACGAAAGUCUGACCAAGAAACGCCGCGUGGGUGAGGAAGGUUUUCGGAUCUUAAGGCUCUGUGGUUGGGGAGGAGGUAAACAACCAGAAAGGGACGGCUAACUACGUGCCAGCAGCCGCGGUAAUAC
rnacentral:rRNA from 1 species